rnacentral:sRNA from 1 species
UCUGAUUUUUGUAGGCACGGACUAUAAC